GUAACACUAACUGGAGGACCGAACCGACUAAUGUUGAAAAAUUAGCGGAUGACCUGUGGCUGGGGGUGAAAGGCCAAUCAAACCGGGAGAUAGCUGGUUCUCCCCGAAAGCUAUUUAGGUAGCGCCUCGUGAAUUCAUCUCCGGGGGUAGAGCACUGUUUCGGCUAGGGGGCCAUCCCGGCUUACCAACCCGAUGCAAACUGCGAAUACCGGAGAAUGUUAUCACGGGAGACACACGGCGGGUGCUAACGUCCGUCGUGAAGAGGGAAACAACCCAGACCGCCAGCUAAGGUCCCAAAGUCAUGGUUAAGUGGGAAACGAUGUGGGAAGGCCCAGACAGCCAGGAUGUUGGCUUAGAAGCAGCCAUCAUUUAAAGAAAGCGUAAUAGCUCACUGGUCGAGUCGGCCUGCGCGGAAGAUGUAACGGGGCUAAACCAUGCACCGAAGCUGCGGCAGCGACACUGUGUGUUGUUGGGUAGGGGAGCGUUC
rnacentral:rRNA from 1 species